AACGUAGGAGACAAACGUUAUCCGGAAUUACUGGGCGUAAAGGGCUCGUAGGCGGCCAACUAAGUCAGACGUGAAAUCCCUCGGCUUAACUGGGGAACUGCGUCUGAUACUGGAUGGCUUGAGAUUGGUAGAGGGAUGCGGAAUUCCAGGUGUAGCGGUGAAAUGCGUAGAUAUCUGGAGGAACACCGGUGGCGAAGGCGGCAUCCUGGACCAACACUGACACUGAGGAGCGAAAGCCAGGGGAGCAAACGGG
rnacentral:rRNA from 1 species